GCGCAUGUGGCAGAAUGGCUUAAUGCAACUGGUUGCAACCCAGUUAUUUGUCGGUUCGAUUCCGACCGUGCGCUCCA
rnacentral:tRNA from 1 species